AAAUAUCUGAUUUUUUUAUUUUUUUUAUAGUGUAUUCCCUUUUGGCCUGAAAAUGAUGCCAACAAACUGCUUGUUAGAGUUGAAAAUUCAAAUCUCCCACCAAAGAAGAUAAAUUUUGAUAAGCAAGAAAACUGUCUUUUACUUCAUUUAGACAAUAAGCUUGGGGGGAUUACAGUGGAUGUCAACUUGACUGAACAUUCUACAGUGAUUACCUUUUCUGAUUACCAUGAUGGUGCAGCACCAUUUCUGUUAAUAAACCAUACUGAAGAAGAAGUCAUUGAGUAUGGACAAAGUUCCCUCAGUGAAUUAGAAGGCUGUCUUCAGCCUAACAAGGCAGUGUUGUAUACUUGGGCCGACCCAGCUGGCUCUAGAAAAUUGACAUGGAAAUGUGGAAAAAGAACUGAGGAAAUUACACCAAAAGAAG